GACGGGGGUGUUCCAAGACCUUUGGAUUGAUUCUAUUGGUGGAGCUUCUUUGAGCUUAUGUCCCCAGGGGCCAAAACUCCUAUUCUUUGUCAUAGGUAGCCACCUAGGUGAUUUAUUCUUGCAAGAGCAAGGGCUAUGAUCCAGAAAAAAAAUUAAUCCAAAAAAAUAGGAAGGGGAUAACCAUUCUUAUUCUAGCUUUCCCUCAAAAAAAUAAAAAGAAAAAAAAAUAACUCCUACUCUAUCUUUUCAUUUUUCU
rnacentral:lncRNA from 1 species